rnacentral:rRNA from 1 species
AUUGAACGCUGGCGGCGUGCUUAGCACAUGCAAGUCGAUCGGUAACAGGUGUAGCAAUACAUGCUGACGAGAGGCGGACGGGUGAGUAAUGCUUGGGAAUCUGCCUAUUAGUGGGGGACAACCCGGGGAAACUCGGGCUAAUACCGCAUACGCUCUACGGAGGAAAGCCGGGGACCGCAAGGCCUGGCGCUAAUAGAUGAGCCCAAGUCGGAUUAGCUAGUUGGUAGGGAACGGCCUACCAAGGCGACAAUCCGUAGCUGGUCUGAGAGGACGACCAGCCACACCGGAACUGAGACACGGUCCGGACUCCUACGGGAGGCAGCAGUGGGGAAUAUUGGACAAUGGGGGCAACCCUGAUCCAGCGACGCCGCGUGGGUGAAGAAGGCCUGCGGGUUGUAAAGCCCUUUCGGUGGGG